AGCUCUGUGUGGCCACCGUCCUUCCGGUUUGUCCGGCCACCAUGGGAGAGACCUGUCAAAGUGGGCCAGUCUGGAUGAAGUCCAGGGCCACAUUUUUGACCCAGUCCAGCCCUGGCCCUCGCUGGUGGCAGCCUGUCAAGCCUGUCUGUGAGAGGCUGACAGCUGUUGCUGCUGGAUUGGGCAUCUAGUGGUAUGAAUGUUUGGGUCAGUAUGCUCCUAGGAUCAAAUGCCCCCUGGGCACUUACUGCCUGAAACAUACUGUAAGUACCACUCAGUGCAACAUCCAGCUCCAUCCAACCACAGCAGCUGUCAGAUUCUCAUAGAGUUUGAUGGGCUGCCAACAGCAGGGCUGGAUGAUACACAUGUGCCCUCCACCGUGUGUUGCUUUUGAUGUGUGUGUGUAUAUAUAUCUAGUGAUUUUCUAAGGCUCAUAUGCAUCUUUUUGAUUGCUGAGUGGACACUUCUCAAACAAAAGGCAUUAGAAACAUUUGCACAAGCUGUCCUCUAAUUGGAAAUCCCCUGGGCAAAUGUCAGUUGGCAGUAAGAUGCUCCCAUAGUUACAGGAAUUCUGUAGCCAAGGUCACCAAUUCUGCAACCAAGGUCAACAAUCCUGCAACCAAGGUCAACAAUAGCUUCACCUUUUGACUUAUAACCUAUAGCAUGCACAACAAUGCCAACUAGAGGUGGAGUUGGGAAAUGCUCACCCAUACAAAGUAAAGGCAGAUGGGAUUGUCUACCCAAACUUUCCAAAUAAACGGACAGCAGCA